rfam:Candidatus Altiarchaeales archaeon WOR_SM1_SCG NODE_28_length_22069_cov_718.662_ID_35, whole genome shotgun sequence.
GGGGCUGUGGGGUAACCUGGCAUCCUAGCGGGCUCCAGCCAUAAAAACAUCUGGAGCGCUGAGGUUUUAUACCGAUGAUGAACGGAUGGGUAUGAUUUUUUCAUACAAAAGGAAGAUACCUGCCGAUGGGGGUUCAAAUCCCUCCAGCCCCA